CAAAGGAAUUGACGGUCCCGCACAAGCGGCGGAGCAUGCGGCUUAAUUCGAUGUAACCCGAAGAACCUUACCUGGGCUUGACAUUAUGGGAAAAGCCGUAGAGAUACGGUGUGCAUUUAGCGUCCAUAACAGGUGGUGCAUGGCUGUCGUCAGCUCGUGUCGUGAGAUGUUGGGUUAAGUCCCGCAACGAGCGCAACCCUUGUCCUAUGUUGCCAGCGGUUCGGCCGGGGACUCAUAGGAGACUGCCGGGGAUAACUCGGAGGAAGGUGAGGACGACGUCAAGUCAUCAUGCCCCUUAUGUCCAGGGCUGCACGCAUGCUACAAUGGUCGGUACAACGGGCUGCGAUCCCGCGAGGGUGAGCGAAUCCCUAAAAACCGGCCUCAGUUCGGAUUGGAGUCUGCAACUCGACUCCAUGAAGUCGGAGUCGCUAGUAAUCGCGGAUCAGCUAAGCCGCGGUGAAUGCGUUCUCGGGGAUU
rnacentral:rRNA from 1 species